rnacentral:rRNA from 1 species
ACAAACAGCUAGGAUGUUGGCUUAGAAGCAGCCAUACAUUUAAAGAGUGCGUAAUAGCUCACUAGUCGAGUGAUCCUGCGCCGAAGAUAAACGGGGCUCAAACUUACCACCGAAGCUUUGGAAUUAGUAUAACUAAUUGGUAGAGGAGCAUUCUAUACAGGUAGAAGGAGGCGCGUAAGCAAAUCUGGACGGUAUAGAAGAGAGAAUGUUGGCAUGAGUAGCGUAAGGCGGGUGAGAAUCCCGUCCGCCGAAAAUCUAAGGUUUCCUGAGGAAGGUUCGUCCUCUCAGGGUAAGUCGGGACCUAAGCCGAGAGCGAACGCUGUAGGCGAUGGAUAACAGGUUGAUAUUCCUGUACCACCAAGGAUUGUUUGAAUGAAGUGGGGACACAGAAGGAUAGAUUGAGCACGCCGUUGGUUGAGCGUGUCCAAGCAGUAAGGCUUGAAAGUAGGCAAAUCCGCUUUCUAAAAGGCUGAGCUGUGAUGGGGUGGUCGAAUGACCGGUAGCAAUCGAUUUCACGCUGUCAAGAAAAGCCGCUAAUGAGAUCCAAGGUGCCCGUACCGCAAACCGACACAGGUAGAUGAGGAGAGAAUCCUAAGGUGAGCGAGAGAACUAUUGUUAAGGAACUCGGCAAAAUAACCCCGUAACUUCGGGAGAAGGGGUGCCUGCUUCGGCAGGCCGCAGUGAAGAGGUCCAGGCAACUGUUUACCAAAAACACAGGUCUCUGCUAAAGCGAAAGCUGAUGUAUAGGGGCUGACGCCUGCCCGGUGCUGGAAGGUUAAGGGGAAGUGUUAGGGCAACCGAAGCACAGAACUUAAGCCCCAGUAAACGGCGGCCGUAACUAUAACGGUCCUAAGGUAGCGAAAUUCCUUGUCGGGUAAGUUCCGACCCGCACGAAAGGCGUAAUGAUCUGGGCACUGUCUCAACAAUAGACUCGGUGAAAUUGUAGUACCGGUAAAGAUGCCGGUUACCCGCAGCAGGACGGAAAGACCCCGUGGAGCUUUACUGUAGCUUGAUAUUGAUUUUCGGCAUUGCAUGUACAGGAUAGGUGGGAGACGUUGAGUUCAGCACGCCAGUGUUGGAGGAGUCACCGUUGGGAUACCACCCUUGUAAUGUUGGAAAUCUAACCUAGUACCGUGAUCCGGUACAGGGACAGUGUCAGGUGGGCAGUUUGACUGGGGCGGUCGCCUCCUAAAGAGUAACGGAGGCGCCCAAAGGUUCCCUCAGCGCGGACGGAAAUCGCGCGAAGAGUGCAAAGGCAAAAGGGAGCUUGACUGCGAGACAUACAGGUCGAGCAGGGACGAAAGUCGGGCUUAGUGAUCCGGUGGUUCCGAGUGGAAGGGCCAUCGCUCAACGGAUAAAAGCUACCCCGGGGAUAACAGGCUUAUACCCCCCAAGAGUUCACAUCGACGGGGGUGUUUGGCACCUCGAUGUCGGCUCGUCUCAUCCUGGGGCUGGAGUAGGUCCCAAGGGUUGGGCUGUUCGCCCAUUAAAGAGGUACGCGAGCUGGGUUCAGAACGUCGUGAGACAGUUCGGUCCCUAUCCGCUGUGGGCGUUGGAAAUUUGAGAGGAGCUAUCCUUAGUACGAGAGGACCGGGAUGGACAUACCUCUGGUGUACCGGUUGUUCUGCCAAGGGCAUAGCCGGGUAGCUACGUAUGGAAGGGAUAAGCGCUGAAAGCAUCUAAGUGCGAAGCCCACCUCAAGAUAAGAUUUCCUCCGAAAGGUAAGACCCGUGAGAGACUAUCACGUUGAUAGGUCAGAGGUGUAAGUACGGUAACGUAUUCAGCUGACUGAUACUAAUAGGUCGAACACUUGACC